rnacentral:snoRNA from 1 species
CGCCAAAGAUCUUUGUCAGGACGGUUACGCUUUACCUGAGUCGGACACUUGUGCCCUUCUCUGGAUUCUCACGUAAUUGUCUGUUACAUCCUUGGGAGAUUGAUAUCACCCACCUCGCGUCGUCUCGUUUUGGGAUUAUACGCGAACCAGAGUGCCGCGGCUUGCCGUGUCUAUUCCGUUCUGGAAUUAACGCACUUGCUCGGGUGAGCAGGGUCUUAUGAGUUGAAGCUACUUCGGUUUACGCCUGUCGGUAAAUAGCUUCGUAGUAAAGAACCUGACACUU